rnacentral:rRNA from 1 species
GAGUUUGAUCGUGGCUCAGAGCGAACGCUGGCAGCGUGCCUAACACAUGCAAGUCGAACGUGAAAGGGAGCAAUCCCAAGUAAAGUGGCGUACGGGUGAGUAACACGUAGGUAAUCUACCCCAGAGUCUGGAAUAACCUGUCGAAAGACGGGCUAAUACUGGAUAGAGCGAGGAAAUCCAUAAAAGGGUUUUUCGGCAAAGGGAGGAAGCAAUUCCCUUCGCUCUGGGAUGAGCCUGCGUCUCAUUAGCUAGUUGGUAGGGUAAUGGCCUACCAAGGCUAUGAUGGGUAGCUGGUCUGAGAGGAUGAUCAGCCACACUGGAACUGAAACACGGUCCAGACUCCUACGGGAGGCAGCAGUGGGGAAUCUUGCGCAAUGGACGAAAGUCUGACGCAGCCACGCCGCGUGAGUGAAGAA